CAGUCGCCGCGGUAAAACGGAGGAUCCAAGCGUUAUCCGGAAUCAUUGGGUUUAAAGGGUCCGUAGGCGGUCUUGUAAGUCAGUGGUGAAAGCCCAUCGCUCAACGGUGGAACGGCCAUUGAUACUGCAGGACUUGAAUUAUUGGGAAGUAACUAGAAUAUGUAGUGUAGCGGUGAAAUGCUUAGAGAUUACAUGGAAUACCAAUUGCGAAGGCAGGUUACUACCAAUUGAUUGACGCUGAUGGACGAAAGCGUGGGUAGCGAACAGGAUUAGAGACCCCUGUAGUCCCUGUCUCUUAUAC
rnacentral:rRNA from 1 species